rnacentral:rRNA from 1 species
GAUUAACGCUGGCGGCGUGCCUAACACAUGCAAGUCGAGCGGCAGCGAGUUUUACACUGACUUCUGGAAGCUUCUAGUUGAAAGGGAAGAUUUAUUCAAGAAUUUUGUGUAAAAUGUCGGCGAGCGGCGGACGGCUGAGUAACGCGUGGGAACGUACCCCAAAGUGAGGGAUAACGCAUCGAAAGGUGUGCUAAUACCGCAUAUGGUCUUCGGAUUAAAGCCUUCGGGCGCUUUGGGAACGGCCUGCGUAAGAUUAGAUAGUUGGUGGGGUAAUGGCCUACCAAGUCGACGAUCUUUAACUGGUUUGAGAGGAUGAUCAGUCAGACUGGAACUGAGACACGGUCCAGACUCCUACGGGAGGCAGCAGUGAGGAAUCUUCCACAAUGGGCGAAAGCCUGAUGGAGCAACGCCGCGUGCAGGAUGAAGGCUUUCGGGUUGUAAACUGCUUUUAUAAGUGAGGAUUAUGACAGUAACUUAUGAAUAAGGAUCGGCUAACUACGUG